GUUCCCUUCUGCAGAGUCUGCCCACCAAGGAAACUACAGCUGUGUCUAUGUUUUGUCUCAUGACAUCUUAUUUGAAAGCCAGUUGCUCUCUCUCACCAUCUCAGUAUCAGAUCCAACACCUUUUAUCAUCAGAGCGGUCGUCCUGUUGCUGACUAUGGUGUUGGUGAACGCUGCCAUUUGUAUCUAUUGUAAGGCCAGCAGGAGGCAGAGGGCGGCCACACAAGAGAACAUUGAGCUGGAUUAUUGUAACCAGGGUGGUUCUGCAGCUGAAGGAGGGCCGAUUUAAGAGAAAGGUGCACAGGGAGCUGAGUUGCACCUCCAGGGAGCUCAUCUCAUACACAGUUGAAUUUAACAGCUGACACACAACCCACCAUCAGCUCAGUUUUAUGUGCAUGUUCCCUUAAAAAAGGCUGGAAUUUCUCUUAAGGCUCAUUUAUACUGUAUUUACGUACAAAAAUAGAAAGUUCAUUUCAAACGUAACCAUCACUGUCCACAUUUUACAUUCCUUCAUGUUGGUAUAGGUACAUCCACUAGAGGGUCAAAAGUUUCAGACAACAUGACGAUGGCAUAGGAAGUUGUAAUAAUGCAACUUUCAAUGGAGGCAGCGUUACUGUGAGACCAUUUAUUACAUUGUGACAUGCAGACGGAGAAUCAUUUUCACUGGAUUAGCAGUUCAUUCCACACUGCCAUUUAAAAUGUCUUUUUAUAUCCUAUGUCUGUGUCUCACUUGACUACACUGCCCCCAAAAUUUCAGGUGAUAAUACAGCUCCAUUUCGUCUGUAUUCAUAAGCUCUUAGAAAACAUGCACAAAUACAAAAGAUACGAGCACAGAGUACAGACAGAAGACUCCAAUUGUGUCUAUAUAUAUUUAACGUUAAGCCUAAAUGAGCCCUUACUUUUAUCAUGGAAAGACCAAACCGUCAAGGUGUUAGGCUCUUUAUACUUUCUGACUUCCUGUCUGACUGUUAGCUCCAAGCCCAUUGGUUCCUAUUGAACACGUAAAUCUUUGACAAACGCCUCACAAACGCUGUUGGAAACUAGACUUGAAACCAAAUACCUGCACCAAGCAGAUAUAUAUAAACCAACCCGGGCCGAUCAAGAACAAUGUUGGCUGAAUGUUAUGUAUUAAAUCAAAAUGAAUGUGUAACAUUGGCAUAUAUUCUCUCUAUAACAUUACAUUAUCAGCGGUAAGUGCAGUAUGAGCACAGUGCAGAGUAGCCCCAACUAGCUACCCAAUGGGACAUGAAGAAAGGGACACACAUGCACAUGUGGCCAGCCCGGCCACCAAAACAAAAGACAGAGAAGCUCAGACAACACACAUAAUGAUGAAGGGCUUGAAUUCAUUCUCUGGUCAGGAUGCCAUUACUCCACUCCAUCUGUACAUAGCAAAUAGAUAUAGCUGUAAUUUCUUAAUAUCUGAAUGUGGCAUACAUGUCUUUCAGAAUUUUAUGUAUUUCAUAAGAAUCUUGCUUGAUUUUGUAAUUAACAGAUUUGCUCAUUUUUAUAAUUAAGGAUUUUGCUUACUCCAUAACAAUGUUGCUUAAUUUUUGUGCUUAAGGAAUUUGCUUAUUUUUGUAAUUAAAGGGGCAUUUCACCCUAAAAAUCAAUAUUUUCCUCUUACCUGUACUGCUGUACCUUUCUAAAGAACAACACCCGCCAACCUUAUCACUGUGCAGAAGGCAGCACGUAACUACUCAUUAAUGAGAGCAUCAUGACAGCAAGAGAUGUAAACAAUAUUUGCAUCAUCCUUGGCUGGGCUGUAACGCUAGCUAGCUCAGUGGUGCUAGCAAUAUUGUAGUUUUGGGGUGAACUGUCCUUUUGAGGAAUAUGCUUGUUUAGGAGUUUGCUAUUUCAUAAGAAUUUCACUUACUUCUGUACUUAAGGGAUUUCUUAAUAUCAUGAGCAUUUCAUUUGUAAUUAAGGAUUUUUCUUCUGUCUCAAGAAUUUUGCUUAAUUUUGUAAUGAAGGAUUUUGCUUAUUCCAUAAGAAUUUUGUUUUAUUUUGUG